GAAAUGAUGUAUGAUUUUUCAGAAAUCCAUAAAAGUGAUUAUCUUAUCAUGUGCUGUGAUAAAAUGUAAAAAAUAUAUAUAUUUUUUAAAUUUAUUGCCAAGCACGCCCCCUGCCCCGCAGGGCUCCCUGCAAUUGGAAACUGAGUGCCGACCAGAACUAACAAAUAGUGUUAGACUACCGCUUACGUGCUUCAAAUUUAAGGAAUACCUCGGCUGACGCAGAGUUGAUGAACUUGUCACAGACAAGCAAGUCUCUAAAAUAUAAAUAUAUGAGAACACAACAUGACAUGAGAAUAAUGCUCGUAAAACAACGUGUUUUAGCUGUUUGUCGGCUACAAAAGCACACAAACGGAAACUUGAAGUCGUGAUCUUAAACAAACAAAGCAACAGAUUUUUUGUGUGAUAUGCUUGUCAGCCACUAGAUGGUGCCAUCGGAUAAGAGAAAUACUCUGGAAAGAAGCUUUAAGUUGUUAUUUUGCAGCUUUCUGGCCAAUGAUUGUGCCCUCAAUGUAUUUUCAUUCUUCUUUAUAUAACGAAGAGCACAUUUAACCCUUACCUCACAUUAGAGCAAUUUUUUUGUGCUGGCACGUGUAUUUUUGUGAAUAACUUUGGCUAUGUUAAUGCAAUGUAUCUAAUUUUUGUAGAGGAUGUGUAUUUUGGAAGGAAUUACAAAAAAAAGUUUGAAAAAAUAUUCAACCUACUUUAUUAAAACGUGGAAAUCAUUUAGUACAGUUAAGCACUUUGAAGCAUUUUUUGUGCCAUUGACUUUCAUGUAAAUCAUAUAUUUUUAAUUAGCAUAAAUAUUGGCAUAAUUUUAAAAAAUUAUGAUUGUGCCCAUGUGUACAGUCUCAUCACAAAUGUAAGAAGCAGUUUUUACCGUUUUUCACUACAUGGCAUACUUUCUCCAUAUAUAGCAGGGCAAUGGCUGACCCAGCAUUUAAACUGAAUGAUUUAGCUGUAUUUCUUUACCUCUGACUAUCCAUUAUAAUACAUAUUUUGCAAAAAAAAAAAAAAGGUUUGUGUGUUAUUUAGAGAUGCCAUACAAUAGUUUGCAUGUGUGUGUUCUGAAUUUUUGGUAAUUGUGCUUUUUCAGUGUUCUUUCUAAAAAUAAGCCUUACUGAAUGUACAAAAUUAGCUUAUUCUGCAAAAUAGCAUUUUGACAUGUGUUCCUUUGUGUGUGAUUGUGCAGGCAUGCGUGUAUGUAGGUAUCAAAGCACUUUACAGAUCUUCAAAAGACAGAUCUGUGAUCAUUAUCUGGAGUGGUUGAACAGGUGUGGGCCAUGGGAGUGUAGGGGGGGGGGGCACAGGUUCUCACACUCUGUUGACUUCAUGAAUAUUCAUCAAAGGCAUGCUAUAUAUCAAAAAUCAAAGGAUUUUCUGCCAAAUUUCAGAUACUCAUUCACAAUUUUACUUUUGCAAAAUGUUAUUUCAAUAAGUACAAAGCAUUUGCAUGGAUGAAAGCUAAGAUGAAGGCUGAAAAACUUCAAAGGCGUACAUUUGUUUUUCAAAACAAAUUCCUGCAGAAUCGAAUUUUGUUUACAUUCAGUUAUUAGGGGCAGUUUACACAGGUGCACCAAUUGACUAAAAGUACAUAUAUGAGACUCAGAUCAGGAUUCAUUUCUUUGAACCGCAACCAUGAGAAGAAGUUUCAACAUGAAUGAAGCCCUGGAGGUGUUUCAGCAGCUUGAAGAUGAGGGGGAGUCAGUCAGGAGGGACCGCAGCAGAAGCCGACCGUAAUCAUCGAUUACAACCGCUGCAAAGGGGCAGUUGACAACUUGGACAAGCUCAGCUGCCGCCGCAAGACCAGACGUUGGCCCAUGUCGCUCUUCUGCAACAUGUUAGAUGUGAGUGCCUACAAUGCCCUGGUCCUGUGGCUGUCUGGAACCGGCCUGGAACCAGCAGAAGAGGAGCAUCUGGAGCUCCAUGGUGAGACCAGCCCAGGCGAGGCGCACUCGCUUGCCGCGGUCCAGCAGCGCUGCAGCUUUGUUGCAGGUGCAGCACUAGCCCAGGAGCAGACAAAGAAAAAAUGCCACCUUUGCAGGGGGAAGAGGAGCGUGCAUGCACGCUUUUGCCAAGCAUGUGGACAGGCUGUGUGCAAGGAGCACUCAACAGUUGUGUGCUCAGCCUGCAGCUGUUAGCUCACUCCCCUCUGUGUUUCUCUCUCUUUCACACACACACACACACACACACACACACACACACACACACACACACACACACACACACACACACACACACACACACACACACACACACACACACACACACACACACACACACACACCUUUUCUUUGUUUGUGUGCUUUAAUAAAGUGUUCAACUGGCUAUCUUUGUAAGUGCAUUUUUUUGUGCUCUAAUGACUUUAACGUGAGUAUUUUAGAAAAUAUGACAUCACACAAAAACUACAAAGUGAGCAAAAAAUAUUUUUAUGCCUAUUUGUGACACUCCAAGGCUGUGACAACUUACCCACAAAAAAGGUCAUCUGGACAUAACACACAAAAAAUGAUUUGAUUUUUUCAUUUUUUGUACAGUUUUCAAACUUCUGGUUUUGAUAAUAAACCUGGCAAUAAAGGGGUUAAAUCUGAGAAACACACACAUAUUUUAUUAUAUUUUGUUAGGGCUGAAGCCAAGGAUGAAAUUCAUGUAAAAAAAUUGGGACUUAUGAAAUAUUAUAUAAUAUUUCUAUGGGAAGCUUUCUAAGUACAUUUUUUUGUGCUCUAAUGACUUUAACGUUAGAAAAUUUAAACGUUGGGUAAGGGUUAAACCUAGUAUUUGCUUUUUCUUGUCUAUCAAGAUCCCCUGUCUAGGCCUACCAGCCUCUGACCAGAGUCUAAAAGCCUGUCUUGCCUCAGUGUGCUUCUCAGCAACAUAUUAGUUCCAACCAGGUCUGACGGUGAUGACUUUAAAGUUAUUCUC